AUUUUAAUAGUAAAAACGAUUAUAAACGGGGAGAUGACACAUUACUCCUAUUUGAAGACGACUCUAAAGACUUUUCUUCAUUUUGGAAAUGGUGGAAUGAAGCAAUCGAAAGCCCAGCCAUGAUUCAAAUGUCAGCAGAAACCCAAGAAGCUUACAAGCGAGCGUUAUCAUAUACCUUGAUGAUCCGGCAUAUGGGCCCUGUGACAGAAACAGAAUGGAUAGGGAAAAUCUAUGAAUCGCUGAUUACAUACAAGUACCAUGGGAGUCCGACUACGACCUACCCUCAAGUUAUGGAGAAGAAGUUCCCCGUUUUCCUGACCUGGUGUGGUAAUGUUCUGGAAGAAAAGGACAAAAGAAAGAAAGAAGAAAACGAUUCUGCUCUGAAGACGGAAGAAAAAAAGUUACAGCAAUCUUUUAUAAAGAAGAACAAGCUGAGUGAAAAAGAUCUAAAUAAAGCAUUGGAGUUUCUUGAAGACUUGUUGAAAAACAGCAAGUAUAUUGAUGGAAAUGAAUGGUCGUUGAUGGACGAUGCAAUAUCUGCUUUAUUUGAAGAGUCUUAUUGCCUCUCCGACAAGAAUAUUCUAAAAUACAUUAACAAGAUGCGAGACGUGUCGUUAGAGAUCAAAGAGAAAGAUAACAACGAAGAAGAAGUACUGGAGAAGUAUCCAUUCCUAAAGCUGCAAUCUCCUAAGGAUUUGAACAUGCUUGAACGACACCUCGCAAGAUCAACUUUCAUAGAUGGAGACGAACCGAGUAAAG